rnacentral:rRNA from 1 species
AUGGUGGAUUCACAAUCCACUGCCUUGAUCCACUUGGCUACAUCCGCCCCUUAUCCAGCUAAAGGAUUUUUUUCUUUUUUCCAUUGAUCAUUAUUCUAUUUCGAUCGUAUACUGAGGUGCUCCCCGUCGGUUGUUGGAACGACGCGAGCCGGGCUGGGCCUCGAUUCCUUUCAAAAAUAUGAAGGGACAGAGGUGACUAAUUCCCCAUCUCAUUUGGGGCGUAAUGAAACCAUUCCAUUGCUACCAACCCACAGAAAUACGACCUCUGAGAUAUACGGUUUAUGCCGGAAAGGUACGAAGUUGGACUAA